GAAUAUGGUGAAGUGGUUAACACAGCGGAUUGUGGCUCCGUCAUGCAAGGGUUCGAAUCCCUUUAUUC
rnacentral:tRNA from 1 species